CUUUUUGCUGACUUGACCUGACCAUAAUUUUGAUGCGUGGAUAUUCAGAUGAAAACUUGCCAUUUCAAAAAAGGCUUUCAAUAAAAUUGAUGCCCCAGCAACUCAUUAUCCAAACCAAGAUGUGAGUAGACAAGGAACACAAUGAAGUCUACUGUGAGCAAUACAGUGCAUAAAGUACAAGUGCAGCAAGAAGUGACUACGGCAAAAUCUUUAAAUAUGGAAGACAUUUCAGAAGAAUCAGUGAGUCUGGGAAGAAAGAUGAGUUGCAAGGGUUGUGAAUGAAUCUCACUUCUGACCAUCUGACUUAAAAAAUGUACAAAAAUAUCAACAACGGACAUGAAGAUCAUCUGAUGUGAUAGACUGGAUUUGAGUCAAGUCAGCCUCAACCCUGAGGUACUGCCUAGAAAGAAGGUCAGUAUUUGUGCUUCUGUUUACAUUUAUAAAUAAUACAGAGGACGAGAUGAUACCCAAGGGGUUCAACCUUCUGGAUGAUACUGUGUUGGGUGUGGCAGCCAAUGAUGCUAACUGAUAAGUAAUAUUCCUUGGGUAGAAUCUGAACAGGGCAGAUGGGUGGAAGGAGAGAGAUAUAACUUAAUUCCCAUCUUGACUAACAUCAGCAAGCCACUUGGGUUUGUAUAAUGUAGCAGCUCCAAUUAAUCUCCAGUCCUGCUGAAGGGUUUCAGCCCGAAACGUUGACUGUACUCUUUUCCAUAGAUGCUGCCUGGCCUACUGAGUUCCUCCAGCAUUUUGUGUGUGUUGCUUCAAUUAGUACUCUAAGUUUCUUCAUGCGGUUUUCAUUUAGUGCUUUAACAUUAUUAGAUGUUCUGUUAGAUUAAUUAUUUCAGAUAGGGUUAGGCACAGAAUUCUUAAGUUUAAGUAAGUAAUUUAAAAAUAAGUAUAGAUUUAGUUUUCUUCCUCUUUAAAAGCAGAAAUACUAAAUUUUUACUACCUCUUAUAGAAUGCCAUAUUAUUAAAGUAGUUAUAAUUUAUUGCUAAACUCGCUCAAAGUGGUGACUAGAGGGCGAUACUGAGAUUAUUGAAUAAAACCAUUGCAAAUAAUUGUGACCAGACAAUUCAGCAAUGGAAUACUGCUUUUGUUAUAUAAAACUUUUAAAUAUGGUUGGUAUUCAGAGCAAACUCAUCUUAAACAAGCUGCUAAUGAGAACAGAUGGCAGCAUUUUUACUUCACUUGGGAGUUUAAGAGGAAUCACAUUACAUGAGACAAAUGUAAAGUCAUCAAUUUCACAGAUCCUGCUGGCAGGAUGCAGAAUUUAAAAGUUUCAAUCAAUCCUGUUUAAUCUGUAUUUAUUUAUAAUGAGUGGAACGUUCCAUGAACUGCUGUGUCAGCAAGACUGAUGUAAAAACCUCCUACCCAUAAAUGUAUACACAAAGAUGGAGUUUCACACAGCUAGUUGCAUCAGACAUUUAUGCAAAGACUUACACAUAAACUUAAGGAAGCACAUUCAGUCUGCCAAAGCCACAAAGCCAGAGUGCAACCACAGUCUCAUACAGACACAUACCUUUAUACAUAAUCUAACACAGCCAUCUGUCCACAUAUACACACUGCAUAAUCAUAUCUGCACAUGGAUACAUUCAUGCAUGCAAAGAUCAUCUCAGACACACUCAAGAAAGCAGUAUCACAUAACCAACCAUAUACAGUACAGUUAAUGAGUCUCACUCAGGCACAUUGUAGAUCGGAAUAAUUUAGCAUAAUCUGAAUCAGGUUUAUUAUCACUGAGAUAUGUUGUGAAAUUUGUUUUUUUGUGGCAGCCGUACAGUACAGGCAUAACAAAGUUACAACAAAAAUACAUGUGAUGAAGGGAGUGUGGUGUUCAUAGAUCAUUCAGAAGUCAGAUAGUAGAAGGUGAGAAGCUGUUCCUAAAACAUUGAGUGCAGGUCUUCAGGCCCCUGAAGUACCACCUCUGUGAUGGUAGUAAUGAGAAGAGGGCAGGUUCCAAAUGGUGAGGGUUCGUAAUGGUUUAAUGCGCCACCUUGAGGCACCACCUUUGGAAGAUGUCCUCGCUGGUGGGAGGGGAGCUGGCUUAGUUUACAAGUCACUGAAGGCUCCAUCUUGUGCAUUAGUCCCUUCUUGUUAAGUUGUGAUGCAACCAAUCAGAAUGGCCUCCACAGUACAUCUGUAGAAAUUUGCUACAAUCAAUGUUGACAUCUCCUCUAACACCUAAUGAAGUAUAACCACUGACAUGCCUGCAACAUGACUUGCAUCAGUAUGUUGGGCCCAGGAUAGAUCCUCCGAGAUGCUGACACCCAGGAACUUGAAACUGCUCACCCUUUCCACUGCUGACCUCUCAAUGAAGACUGGUGUGUAUUCCCUUGACUUCUCCUUCCUGAUGUCCACAAUCAAUUUCCUGGUCUUGCUGAUGUCGAGUGCAAGGUUGUUGCUACAUUACCAAUCGAUUAGAUGAUAUAUUUCAUUCCUGUAAGCUUCCUUAUUACUAUCAGAAAUUCUGCCAACAACAGUGGUGUCAUGUGUGAAUUUACAGAUGGCAUUUGAGCUGUACCUAGCCGCACGGUCACAAGUGUAAGAGAGUUGAGCCGUGGGCUAAGCUCACAUCGUUAAGGGGCGUCUGUGUUGAUUGCCAAUGAGGAGAUGUUAUUAAAGAUUCAUACUGAACUGUGGUCCCCUGAUGAGGAAACCAAAAAUGGAGGUACAAAGGCCCAGAGUUUGAAGCUUGUUGAUUAGUACUGAGAGGAAUGUGGUGUUGUACGCCAAGCUAUAAUCAAUAAACAGCAGCCUGAUGUAGGUAUUACUAUUGUCCAAGGUGGUGCAAGGCAGAGUGGAGAGCCGGUAAGAUUGCAUCCUCUGUAGACUUGCGGGGGUAGGCAAACUGCUGCGGGUCUAGGUUCUUGCUCAGGCAGGAGUUAAUUCUGGCCAUUACCAACCUCUCAAAGCACUUCAUUAUACUAGUGACUUUGAGUGACUGCUACUGGGUGAUAUUUGUUGAGGCAGCUCACCCUGCUGUGCUUGGGCACCGGUAUGAUUGAUACUCUUUUGAAGCAGAUCAAACCUCUGACUGCAGCACUGAGGGGUUGAAAAUGUUUUUGGAUACUUCCGUCAGUUGGCUGGCACAAGUUUUCAGUACCUGCUGGGUACAAAAUCGGGGCCUGAUACCUUAUGAGGGUAACUCUGAGUCAAAGGAAACAAUUUUUUUGGUGAGAAUAAAAAAAAUCUAUAUCCAUUUAGGCAUCCAAUCUCAGUGGAGGCACUUCAUAUCCUCCGCUGAGCUGCAGCUCCUUAGGGACCACGUCAGGGAACUGGAGAUGCAGCUUGCUGGCCUUUGUCUGGGUCAGGAAAGUAAGGAGGUGAUAGAUAGGAGCUAUAAGCAAGAAAUCACACCGGGGCCUCGGGAGACAGAUAAGUGGGUAAGAGUCAGGAAAGGGAAGGGCAAGAGUCAGAUACUAGAGAGUACCCGUGUGGCUGUCUCCUUUAACAAUAAGAACUCCUGUUUGAGUACAGUUGGGGGAGGGGGCCGAACUGGGGGAAGCAACAGUGGCCGUGCCUCUGGCACAGAAUCUGGCCCUGUGGCUCAGAAGGAUAAGGAAAGGAAGAGGACGGCAGCAGUGAUAGGGGACUCUAUAGUUAGGGGGUCAGGUAGGUGAUUCUGUGGAUGCAGGAAGGAAACACGGAUGGAAGUUUGCCUCUCAGGUGCCAGGGUCCGGGAUGUUUCUGACCAUGUAGGAAAAGGGAGGAGGUCCUGAAAACAGACUACAGGGAGUUAGGAAGGAAGCUGAGAAGCAGGACUUCAAAGGCAGUAAUUUCGGGAUUACUGUCUGUGCCAUGCAACAGUGAGUGUAGGAAUAGAGUGGGGUGGAGGAAAAAUGCAUGGCUGAGGGAUUGGAGCAGGGCACAGGGAUUCAGAUUUCUGGAUCAUUGGGAUCUCUUUGGGGCAGGUGUGACCUGUACAAAAAGGACGGGUUGCACUUGAAUCUGAGGAGGACCAAUAUCCUGGUAGGGAGGUUUGCUCAGGCUAUUGGGAGUUUAAAAUGGAAUUGCUGGGGGGGGGGGAGGGUGGAAACCAAACUGAAAAGAUGGAGGGAAGGAGUGGAUGGCUCACAAAUUGAGAAAGCUUGUAGACAGUGUGAGAGGGGGGAUAAGCAGGUGAUAGAAAAGGGAUGCGCUCAGACCGAUGAUUUGAGAUGUCUCUAUUUUAACGCACAGAGUAUCAUGAACAAAGCGGAUGAGCUUAGAGCAUGGAUAGGUACUUGGAGCAAUGAUGUGGCCAUUACAGAGACUUGGAUGCUGCAGGGGCAGGAAUGGCUACUUAAGAGUGCCAGGCUUUAUAUGUUUCAGAAAGGACAGGGAGCAAGGCAGAAGAGGUUGGGAUGUGGCAUUCUUGAUCAGAGAUAGUGUCAUGGGUGCAGAAAAGGAGCAAGUCAUGGAGGGAUUGUCUACUGAGUCUCUGUGGGUGGAAGUUAGAAACAGGAAAGGGGUCAAUAAAUUUACUGGGUGCUUUUUAUAGACCACCCAGUUAAGACAUCAAGGAGCAGGUAGGGAGACAGAUUCUGGAAUGGUGCAAUAAUAACAGGGUUGUCGUGAUGGGAGAUUUUAAUUUCCCCAAUACUGAUUAUGCAUCUCCCUAGAACACGGGGUUUAGAUAGGGUAGAGUUUGUUAGGUGUGUUCAGGAAGGUUUCCUGACACAAUAUGUAGAUAAGCCUACAACAGGAGAGGCUGUACUUGAUCUGGUAUUGCAAAAUAAACCUGGUCAAGUGUCAGGUCUCUCAUUGCGAGAGCAUUUUGGAGAUAGUGAUCACAAUUCUAUCUCCUUUACCAUAGCAUUGGAGAGGGAUAGGAACAGACAAGUUAGGAAAGCAUUUAAUUGGAGUAAGGGAAAAUAUGAGGCUAUCAGGCAGGAGCUUGGAAGUAUAAAUCAGGAACAGAUGUUACCAGGGAAAUGUAUGGCAGAAAUGUGGCAAAUGUUCAGGGGAUAUUUGCAUGGCAUUCUGCAUAGGUACAUUCCAGUGAGCCAGGGAAAGGAUGGUAGGAUACAGGAACCAUGGUGUACAAAGGCUUUUUAAAAUCUAGUCAAGAAGAAAAGCUUCAAAAAACUAGGUAAUGAUAGAGAUCUAGAAAAUUAUAAAGCUAGCAGGAAGGAGCUUAAGAAUGUAAUUAGGUGAGACAGAAGGGGCCAUAAGAAGGCCUUGGUGAGCAGGAUUAAGGAAAACCCCAAGGCAUUGUACAAGUAUGUGAAGAGCAAAAGAAUAAUACAUGAGAUAAUAGGAUGAGUCAAGUGUGACAGUGGAAAAGUGUGUAUGGAACUGGAGAUAGCAGAGGCACAUAAUGAAUAUUUUGCUUCAGUAUUCACUACAGAAAAGGACCUUGGCGAUUGUAUGGAUGACAUACAGGUAGCCUGGGAAAUUAUAGACCAGUGAGUCUUACUUAAGUGGUUGGUAAGUUGAUGGAGAAGAUCUUGAGAGGUAAGAUUUAUGAACGUUUGGAGAGGAAUAAUAUGAUUAGGAAUUGUCAGCAUGGCUUUGUCAAAGGCAGGUCGUGCCUGAUGAGCCUGAUUGAAAUUUUUGAGGAUGUGAUUAAACAUAUUGAUGAAGGAAGAGCAGUAGAUGUAGUGUAUAUCAAUUUCAGCAAGGCAUUUGAUAAGGUACCCCAUGCAAGGCUUAUUGAGAAAGUAAGGAGGCAUAGGAUCCAAGGGGACCUUGCUUUGUGGAUCCAGAAUUAGCUUGUUCACAGAAGACUAAGGGUAGUUGUAAAUGGGUCAUAUUCUGCAUUGAGGUUGGUGAUCAGUGGUGUGUCUCAGGGAUCUGUUCUGAGACCCCUUCUCUUCGUGAUUUGUAUAAAUGACCUGGAUGAGGAAGUGGACUAAUGGGUUAGUAAAUUUGCUGAUGACACAAAGGUUGGGGGUGUUGUAGAUAGUGUGGAGGGCUGUCAGAGGUUACAGCAGGACAUCAAUAGGAUGCAAAACUGGGCUGAGAAGUGGCAGAUGGAGUUCAGCCCAGAUAAUAGUGAGGUGAUCCAUUUUGGUAAGUCAAAUAUGAUGGCAGAAUAUAGUAUUAAUGAAAAGACUCUUGGCAGUGAGGAGGAUCAGAGGGAUCUUGGGGUCCGAGUCCAUAGGACACGCAAAGCUGCUGCGCAGGUUGACUGUGUGGUUAAGAAGGCAUACGGUGCAUUGGUCUUCAUCAAUUGUGGGAUUGAAUUAAAGAGCCGAGAGGUAAUGUUACAGCUAUAUAGGACCGUGAUCAGGCCCCACUUGGAGUACUGUGCUCAGUUCUGGUCACCUCACUUCAGGAAGGAUGUGGAAACUAUAGAAAGGGUGCAGAGGAAAUCUACAAGGAUGAUACCUGGAUAGGGGAGCAUGCCUUAUGAGAAUAGGUUUAAUGAACAGGCCUUCUCUCCUUGAAGCAACAGAGGAUGAGAGGUGACCUGUGCUACGUCCGUAGCCUCCUCCUUUGUGAGAAUUGCAAGAUCACUGUUGGGUUGGGUCCAGGGGCACAGGAAAUGAGAGAGAGACGUGCAAAAUGCCUCAUUUCCCUGGCGAUGUAAAGCUACGGGACAUGGCCAUUGUCUCCGGAAGACUAAGUUGUGUAUUGAGUACUAUACUGUUCAUUGAAGCCCCUCAGGGGAUGACCAGAGUAGGCUGGUUGAGGGAUUGCAUCAUCCCAACCUGAUUGACAUCUGAGACCCUGGGAGUAAGGAUAAAAGAGGGUCUGGGGAACAACCCCUUCAGACGCACCAGGAGAAACGCUAGAAAUCCCGUGACAGCGUUUAAUAGCGACAGCCGGUGGGGGGCUUGCGUGCGUCCUUUCCCUCGCCUGGGAUUGGCAGCCUCACCAUGGAAGAACGGCUUUAGCUAAAGGAGAGGCCACAAGUGAACGAUCACACCAACGGGACUCCUGACGGAUCGAAAUCGUAAAGGUUGGAAAACCCGCAGCAGUAACUGUUCCCAGUCUAUUCCUACUUCUCUCUCUCUCUCUCCAACAAAGUGCAACACAGCGACAACCAAAAGGCUGCAGCCUGCAUGAACUGAGUGAUUUUUAUAUUUCCAUCAGACAAUACAUUAUUCCCUAGAUAAAGAUAGAGCUAUUUCUUAUUGGUUAUUAUUAUACCCACGCUUUAGAUUUAGUAUUGACGACGUAUAUUCUCUGUAUGUUUGCAUUAAUCUUAAUUUUGUGCCCUUUAUCAAUAAAUACUUUUAAAAAUAGUACCAUCAGACUUCAACGGACCUUUCUAUCUUUGCUGGUAAGUGAUCCAGUUACAGGAUUUCGUAACACCUGCUAGAGAUGUACAAGAUGAUGAGAGACAUCGAUCAUGUGGAUAGUCAGAGGCUUUUUGCUAAGGCUAAAAUGGCUAACAUGAGAGGACACCGUUUUAAGUGCUUAGAAGUAAGUACAGAGGAGAUGUCAGGGUUAGGUUUUUUUAAUGCAGAAAGUGGUGGGUGCAUGGAAUGGGCUGCCGGUGAUGGAGGUGGAAAUGAUAGGGUCUUUUAACAGACUGCUGGAUAGGUACAUGGAGCUUAGAAAAAAUAGAGGGCUAUGGGUACCCUAGAUAAUUUUUAAAGUAAGUACAUGUUUGGUACAGCAUUGUGGGCCAAAGGGCCUGUAAUGUGCUCUAGGUUUUCUGUUUUACUUCCACUCUUAAAAUCUGGAGUUAUCUUUUUGCUGAGGGUUUCACCAGUGUUAGUCAUUGCUGCCUUUGUCACAGCUGCCAUUGGCUGUUCAAACUUUAAGCAUCUAGAUUGUCUUGUCUUCUGCUGUCAAGGUCAUAUCAAAUUGAUCAAGAAAUCUAUAAACAAAAUUCCAAAUAAAAAUAGCAGGUUAAAUACUGUAAUAAUAAUGAAGUUAUUACUACCCC